UUUCCGUAGGUGAACCUGCGGAAGGAUCAUUAUUGAAUAACCGAGCUCCCAGCCCUGUCGCUGACCCGAAAGGUGGUGCCCGCGCGAGUGCCCUCACACACAUCCAUCUCACCCCGAUGUGCACCACCGCGUGGGUCCCCCUUUGCCGUUUUCGGAGGGGGGCUUACGUUUUCACACAAACUUUUUCUGCAGUUUAUGAUGUAUUUUUUGUUUUUGCGAUCACGCAAUCAAUCACACUUUCAACCACGGAACCCUUGGCUCUCGCAUCUGCGAAGAACC
rnacentral:misc_RNA from 1 species